rnacentral:sRNA from 1 species
GCCGGGCGUGUUGGCACGCGCCCAUAGUCCCAGUUACUCGGGAGGCUGAGGCAGGAGAAUCGCUUGAGCCCAGGAGGCGGAGUUUGCAGUGAGCCGAGAGAGUGCCACUGCACUCCAGCCUGGGCGACAGAGCGAGACUCCGUCUCAA